rnacentral:lncRNA from 1 species
CCUGUCUUGAGCUAGACGGAGGGCCCAUGGAAAGAACGGAAGUGGGCAGGCACAAGUCUGAUAAGCAACUGACGAGGGGCAGAAUUGUCGUGCUUUGCACCAGAACAGCGGGGCAUUCUACUGUGCAGAUUGCCCUGAAGGAGAAUGGAUCCCCUCGUGAUGGCCACUGCAGCUGCCAGUUUGCCAGGUUUGUCUCGGCCACUGCCUUCUUUUGAUAACUGUUAGUAAGAGCUGGCAGAAGUCGAGCAAAAUACACAUGGGAGGAAACCCCACACAGACUUUUCUUGCAACACACUUCGCCCGGUGCCUGAAGAAGAGCUAAGUUUUGGUUGGCCAAGAGAAACCCUCGUUAAACCUCUGCCUCCCGCUACCAAAAGCUCGCAAAUAGAUGUGGACGUUUUACUUCCAGAGAAAUUGCCUGACUCACCCCCUGCCUUCAUCUCGCCAGGGAGCGAAGUGAAUGUUCGUUCAGUCCCUGGAGGUAGAUGGCUGGGAGAUUCCCGAAGGCCUCCAUGAGAACGGAUUGGUCGGUGGCAUGCACCCCCAAACAACGGGGAAGGUGCUCAAAACCAGCCGACCCCAGCCUCCUCUGGAGCUGCCCCCACAGACAGGUUCGCUGGGCACUCAGGGACUGGGACAGCUGCCUCGGAUCAUUAGGGGGGCAUUGAAACAGACAGGCAAGAGGACCACCCACCCAUUGGCUCUCCCCUCCCACCUUCUACCCAUUAAAAAAAGAAAAGUAAUCCGCCCCCAGUUUGCCCCAACCAAAUUGACUCUCACUGCCCCCCCGCCCGCCCCCAACCCCAGGAGCGGAUGGUUCUGGUCAUCUCCAAAGAGAAGCCCAGCCGUCCUGCCGUCCUGCUGGGCUCUGAGGCUGGAGACGGGACCCCUUUCCGGGAGGCUGCGGCUGCUGCUGCUGCUACCGCCCAGUCCGCGCCCUUCCUGGCUAGCCCCGUUCCCCGGACAGCCAGCCUGCAGCUCCCUCCACGAGUCCUCCCGCUCUGCCCCGGUCCGGGCCCCGGCCCCGGCCCGGCCCCCGCCCGCCGCCCCAGCGCCUGCCCCGCACCGCACGGAACGCACUGCUCGCCGCCUCCUCCGGCGGGCUCCCCGGGCACUCACCUCCUGGGAUCGGGCUUCCGUCGCUCCUCCAGCUUGGCGGCGAAGUCGGGGGCUGCCGGGGCAGCCGCUGCUCGUGGUUCCGGGGUGUACGGGGGGGCAGAGCCGGGAGCCCCCCGGCGUGGGCGCCGCGCGGUGUGGCCGGAGGGAGCUUCGGAGGGAGCUGCGGGAAGUUUUCAACCUGCGGGGGCGGUGCUCGGUGCUACUCCACUAGCCUCCCGCGGGCAGCCACGCAGUGCAGAGCCCGGCGAGCCCAGGCAGAGGGCGGGCGGGAGGCCACAACUUCUGGGAGAAGAGGUGGUGCCUGGCCAGGGGCACGGCCUGGGGCGCGCGUGGCUUGGCGUGGAGUGUCGUGGAAAGCAGAGGCUGCCGCUGCUGCCGCUGCUGCUGCUACUGCUGCCGCCACCGCCGCUGCUGCCGCUACCGCCGCCGCCACCGCCGCUGCCGCCGCCUUUGGGGAGUGCAAGGCUGCGAUCCAUAUUUAAGGCAGUGAGUAGCCUCGGCUGUCCUCCGACCGGACUCGGCCCGGCCCUCCCCUCUGCUCCCCACCCCACCCCACUCCCCCAACACCCCACCCCUCUCUCCUAUUGCUGCUCUCCGGGCGUCACUAGAGCUCAAGGCUUCCAGGGCACUGGGGGAGGGGCCUUGCCGGCCGCCGGAGGCUGUGGCUCACCUCGCCUGCAAGCUUUGUAA